rnacentral:rRNA from 1 species
UACGUAGGGUGCGAGCGUUGUCUGGAAUUAUUGGGCGUAAAGAGCUCGUAGGCGGUCUGUCGCGUCGGUCGUGAAAACUUGGGGCUUAACCCUGAGCUUGCGGUCGAUACGGGCAUGACUGGAGUUCGGCAGGGGAGACUGGAAUUCCUGGUGUAGCGGUGAAAUGCGCAGAUAUCAGGAGGAACACCGGUGGCGAAGGCGGGUCUCUGGGCCGAUACUGACGCUGAGGAGCGAAAGCGUGGGGAGCGAACAGG